GGAAGUAAAAGUCGUAACAAGAUUUCCGUAGGUGAACCUGCGGAAGGAUCAUUACAGAGUUCAUGCCCGAAAGGGUAGACCUCCCACCCUUGUGUAUUAUUACUUUGUUGCUUUGGCGAGCGCUAGCUCGCCAGAGAAUACCAAAACUCUUUUUAUUAAUGUCGUCUGAGUACUAUAUAAUAGUUAAAACUUUCAACAACGGAUCUCUUGGUUCUG
rnacentral:misc_RNA from 1 species